ACCCGCAUUCAGGAAAACAUCCGGGAUUACUUAAGGAAAUACUGCUGUGUGUACUGUAGAGUCUGGCGAUGUCGACAGACUCUUUUUUUU
rnacentral:sRNA from 1 species